rnacentral:rRNA from 1 species
AGCAGCCGCGGUAAUUCCAGCUCCAAUAGCGUAUAUUAAAGUUGUUGCAGUUAAAAAGCUCGUAGUUGAAUUUCGGGAUCAAGGAAUCGGUCAUGCCUUGGUAUGUACUGGUUUUAUUGGUUCUCACCUUCUAAAGAACCAUAAUGUCAUUUAUUUGAUGUUAUGGGGAAUUAGGACUGUUACCUUGAAAAAAUUAGAGUGUUUAAAGCAAGCUAACGUUUGAAUACAUUAGCAUGGAAUAAUGAAAUAGGACGUUCGAUCCUAUUUUGUUGGUUUCUAGGAUUGACGUAAUGAUUAAUAGGGAUAGUUGGGGGCAUUAGUAUUCAAUUGUCAGAGGUGAAAUUCUUGGAUUUAUUGAAGACUAACUACUGCGAAAGCAUUUGCCAAGGAUGUUUCAUUAAUCAAGAACGA